rnacentral:rRNA from 1 species
UACGAAGGGGGCUAGCGUUGCUCGGAAUCACUGGGCGUAAAGCGCACGUAGGCGGGUUGCUAAGUCAGGGGUGAAAUCCUGGAGCUCAACUCCAGAACUGCCCUUGAUACUGGCGGCCUUGAGUCCGGGAGAGGUGAGUGGAACUGCGAGUGUAGAGGUGAAAUUCGUAGAUAUUCGCAAGAACACCAGUGGCGAAGGCGGCUCACUGGUCCAUUACUGACGCUGAGGUGCGAAAGCGUGGGGAGCAAACAGG